rnacentral:rRNA from 1 species
GAUGAACGCUAGCGGGAGGCCUAACACAUGCAAGCCGAGCGGUAUUGUUUCUUCGGAAAUGAGAGAGCGGCGUACGGGUGCGGAACACGUGUGCAACCUGCCUUUAUCUGGGGGAUAGCCUUUCGAAAGGAAGAUUAAUACUCCAUAACAUAUUGAUUGGCAUCAAUUAAUAUUGAAAGCUCCGGCGGAUAGAGAUGGGCACGCGCAAGAUUAGCUAGUUGGUGAGGUAACGGCUCACCAAGGCGAUGAUCUUUAGGGGGCCUGAGAGGGUGAUCCCCCACACUGGUACUGAGACACGGACCAGACUCCUACGGGAGGCAGCAGUGAGGAAUAUUGGUCAAUGGGUGCAAGCCUGAACCAGCCAUCCCGCGUGAAGGACGACUGCCCUAUGGGUUGUAAACUUCUUUUGUAUAGGGAUAAACCUACCCUCGUGAGGGUAGCUGAAGGUACUAUACGAAUAAGCACCGGCUAACUCCGUGCCAGCAGCCGCGGUAAUACGGAGGGUGCAAGCGUUAUCCGGAUUUAUUGGGUUUAAAGGGUCCGUAGGCGGACUUAUAAGUCAGUGGUGAAAGCCUGUCGCUUAACGAUAGAACUGCCAUUGAUACUGUAAGUCUUGAGUAUAUUUGAGGUAGCUGGAAUAAGUAGUGUAGCGGUGAAAUGCAUAGAUAUUACUUAGAACACCAAUUGCGAAGGCAGGUUACCAAGAUAUAACUGACGCUGAGGGACGAAAGCGUGGGGAGCGAACAGGAUUAGAUACCCUGGUAGUCCACGCCGUAAACGAUGUUAACUCGUUUUUGGGCUUUAGGGUUCAGAGACCAAGCGAAAGUGAUAAGUUAGCCACCUGGGGAGUACGCUCGCAAGAGUGAAACUCAAGGGAAUUGACGGGGGCCCGCACAAGCGGUGGAUUAUGUGGUUUAAUUCGAUGAUACGCGAGGAACCUUACCAAGACUUAAAUGGGAAUUGACAGCUUUAGAAAUAGAGCUUUCUUCGGACAAUUUUCAAGGUGCUGCAUGGUUGUCGUCAGCUCGUGCCGCGAGGUGUUAGGUUAAGUCCUGCAACGAGCGCAACCCCUGUCACUAGUUGCCAUCAUUCAGUUGGGGACUCUAGUGAGACUGCCUACGCAAGUAGAGAGGAAGGUGGGGAUGACGUCAAAUCAUCACGGCCCUUACGUCUUGGGCCACACACGUAAUACAAUGGCCGGUACAGAGGGCAGCUACACAGCGAUGUGAUGCAAAUCUCGAAAGCCGGUCUCAGUUCGGAUUGGAGUCUGCAACUCGACUCUAUGAAGCUGGAAUCGCUAGUAAUCGCGCAUCAGCCAUGGCGCGGUGAAUACGUUCCCGGGCCU